rnacentral:rRNA from 1 species
GAUGAACGCUGGCGGCGUGCUUAACACAUGCAAGUCGAACGAUGAAGCCCAGCUUGCUGGGUGGAUUAGUGGCGAACGGGUGAGUAACACGUGAGUAACCUGCCCUUAACUCUGGGAUAAGCCUGGGAAACUGGGUCUAAUACCGGAUAGGAGCGUCCACCGCAUGGUGGGUGUUGGAAAGAUUUAUCGGUUUUGGAUGGACUCGCGGCCUAUCCGCUUGUUGGUGAGGUAAUGGCUCACCAAGGCGACGACGGGUAGCCGGCCUGAGAGGGUGACCGGCCACAAUGGGACUGAGAGACGACCCAGACUCCUACGGGAGGCAGCAGGGGGGAAUAUUGCACAAUGGGCGCAAGCCUGAUGCAGCGACGCCGCGUGAGGGAUGACGGCCUUCGGGUUGUAAACCUCUUUCAGUAGGGAAGAAGCGAAAGUGACGGUACCUGCAGAAGAAGCACCGGCUAACUACGUG